rnacentral:rRNA from 1 species
UCCUAGGUGUAAACGCUGUGACCUGAUGUUGGGGAUGAUCCGAUCAUUCCUCAGUGCCGAAGCGAAGGUGAUAAGUCCACUGCCUUGGGGAGUACGUUCGCAAGGCUUAAACUUAAAGGAAUUGCGGGGGAGCACCGCAACGUGAGGAUUGUGCGGUUUAAUUGGAUUCAACGCCGGAAAACUCACCCAGUGCCGACGGACAGAUGAAAGCCAGUGUGAUGAGCNUGCUGGACUGUUCGAGAGGUAGUGCAUGGCCGCCGUCAGUUCGUACCGUAAGGCGUUCUGUUAAGUCAGAUAACGAACGAGACCCUCAUCCCUAUUUGCUAAGGUUUCUCCCUUCGGGGCGAGAUCACAGGACUAUAGGGAGACCGCUGGCGAGAAGUCAGAGGAAGGUGAGGGCAACGGUAGGUCAGUAUGCUCCGAAUGCACUGGGCUACACGCGCAAUACAAAGGACGGGACAAUGGGCCGCUGCUCCGAGAGGAAAGAUGGCUAUCCCGAAACCCGUUCGUAGUUCGGAUUGAGGGCUGUAACUCGCCCUCAUGAAGCUGGAUUAGGUAGUAAUCGCGUCUCAAAAAGGCGCGGUGAAUAUGCCCCUGCUCCUUGCACACACCGCCCGUCAAACCAUCUUAGUUGGGGGUGGCUGAGGCUGCCUUUUAGU